GACGAACGCUGGCGGCGUGCUUAACACAUGCAAGUCGAACGGAAAGGCCCUGCUUUUGUGGGGUGCUCGAGUGGCGAACGGGUGAGUAACACGUGAGUAACCUGCCCUUGACUUUGGGAUAACUUCAGGAAACUGGGGCUAAUACCGGAUAGGAGCUCCUGCUGCAUGGUGGGGGUUGGAAAGUUUCGGCGGUUGGGGAUGGACUCGCGGCUUAUCAGCUUGUUGGUGGGGUAGUGGCUUACCAAGGCUUUGACGGGUAGCCGGCCUGAGAGGGUGACCGGCCACAUUGGGCCUGAGAUACGGCCCAGACUCCUACGGGAGGCAGCAGUGGGGAAUAUUGCACAAUGGGCGGAAGCCUGAUGCAGCAACGCCGCGUGCGGGAUGACGGCCUUCGGGUUGUAAACCGCUUUCGCCUGUGACGAAGCGUGAGUGACGGUAAUGGGUGAAGAAGCACCGGCUAACUACGUG
rnacentral:rRNA from 1 species